rnacentral:rRNA from 1 species
ACCGGCGCCCGUCACCCACCACACCGCCCGUCACCCUCACCACCGCCCGUCACCCUCACACACCGCCCGUCACCCUCACACACCGCCCGUCACCCUCACACACCGCCCGUCACCCUCACACACCGCCCGUCACCCUCACACACCGCCCGUCACCCUCACACACCGCCCGUCACCCUCACACACCGCCCAUCACCCUCACACACCGCCCGUCACCCUCACACACCGCCCGUCACCCUCACACACGGCCCGGUCACCCUCAAACGGGGGCCGAUCACCCGUCAUACACUGUCCGACACCCUCACAAAGCGCCCGGACCCCUCACCCGCCCCCAGAAGGCGGAAUUAGCAGUCAAGUACGAUCAUACCCCCUCAGCUCCCUUUAAAACGGCUCUGAGGCACGUACACACCGCCCGUCACCCUCAAAC